UUAAUAUGCCUUCAGGUGGAUGGCUCGGCUCAAGAGCUGAUGAGGGACGUGCCAAGCUGCGAUAAGCCCAGGGUAGGUGCAUGGAGCCUAUGAACCUGGGAUUUCCUAAUGGGUCUUCCUAACACAUUUUGUGUGUUGAUCAAUACUGAUCGGGAACGCCCCGAAUUGAAGCAUCUUAGUAGGGGCAGGAAAAGAAAUCGAAGAGAUGCCGUUAGUAAUGGCGAAUGAACACGGUACAGUUCAAACUGAAUCCCACUGGUAACAUGUGGGAGAUGUGGUGUUGUAGGCCUUUUCUAAAGAUCCCACUUGAUCGAAGUUUAACUUUUCUGGAACGUUAGACCAUAGAGUGUGAUAGUCACGUAAACAACGAUCAAAGGAUCUGGAUAAUGGCCUGAGUAGCGUGGGUUGGAAUUCCCGCGUGAAUUUGGGAGGCACCAACUUCCAAAACUAAAUACUUCUUGAGACCGAUAGCGAACUAGUAGGGUGACCGAAAACUGAAAAGUACCCCAAGAAGGGAGGUUAAAAGUGCCUGAAACCUGGAGGCGAUGGAGCGAUAUGGCGUUAAAGGAUCUUUAAUGCGAAGGAAACAGCCGCGAGGCUGCAGUACGGGCAUUAUUGCCAAUGUCAUAUCUUACGUUUUGAAGAACGGGCCAGGGAGUAUAUUCAAAUGGCGAUGGCUAACUUGUAAAUAGGAAGCCGAAGCGAAAGCAACAUGCUCGCAACCGUAAGGUGAGGAGCGACGUAUACAAGUGCGUGGAGUCAUUAGGAUAUGACCCGAAGCCGGGUGAUCUAGGCGUGGGCAGGUUGAAGCGUGGCGAAAGCUACGUGGAGGACCGCAAGCGGUAUUGAUCUGCAAAUCAUUCGUGUGACCUGCGUCUCGGAGUGAAAGGCUAAUCUAACCCGGCAUCAGCUGGUUCCUUCCGAAACAUGUCGUAGCAUGACCUAACUGGAGAUAGUCGGUGAAGUAGAGCACUGAUUGGUGGUCCCGGGGAAGAAAUUCCUCAGCCGCUUGUCAAACUCCAAACUCACCGUCGUCUAAGAAGGUUGGAGUCCGGACUACUGGGGUAAGCCUGUAGUCCGUAAGGGAGACAACCCAGCCCGUGGUUAAGGUCCCUAAGUGUCGACUAAGUGUUAAUACUAAAGGGCGUCCUAAGCCCUAGACAGCUGGAAGGUUAGCUUAGAAGCAGCUAUCCUUUAAAGAGUGCGUAACAGCCCACCAGUCGAGGUUUGGGGCCCCGAAAAUGGACGGGGCUCAAGUCGACCACCGAUACCACGGAGCACCGUAAGGUGAUCUCGUAGGAAGGCGUUGCGUUCGGGCAGAAGCAGGGCUGUGAAGUCCUGUGGACCGUGCGGAAACGAAAAUCCUGGUAAUAGUAACAGCAUAGAUAGGUGAGAAUCCUAUCCGCCGAAGGGGCUAGGUUUCCUCGGCAAUGAUCGUCAGCCGAGGGUUAGUCGGUCCUAAGACGUACCGUAAUUCGAGU
rnacentral:rRNA from 1 species